UACAGAGGGGGCAAGCGUUGUUCGGAAUUACUGGGCGUAAAGGGCGCGUAGGCGGCCUGUUAAGUCGAACGUGAAAUCCCCGGGCUCAACCCGGGAACUGCGUCCGAUACUGGCAGGCUUGAAUCCGGGAGAGGGAUGCGGAAUUCCAGGUGUAGCGGUGAAAUGCGUAGAUAUCUGGAGGAACACCGGUGGCGAAGGCGGCAUCCUGGACCUGCAUUGACGCUGAGGCGCGAAAGCCAGGGGAGCAAACGGG
rnacentral:rRNA from 1 species